rnacentral:rRNA from 1 species
UACAGAGGGGGCAAGCGUUGUUCGGAAUUACUGGGCGUAAAGCGCGCGUAGGCGGCUCGGAAAGUCGGGCGUGAAAUGCCGGGGCUCAACCCCGGGACUGCGUCCGAUACUUCCGAGCUGGAGGUAGGUAGGGGAGAUCGGAAUUCCUGGUGUAGCGGUGGAAUGCGUAGAGAUCCGGAAGAACACCGGUGGCGAAGGCGGGUAGCUGGGCCGACACUGACGCUGAUGCGCGAAAGCGUGGGAGCGGAACCGG